rnacentral:snoRNA from 1 species
GGCUUCUUCGCGCUCGCAACAGGCUGUGCUCUGAUGCUGACUAUGGAACAGGAGGCAGAGUAAACCCACCCCACGUGUGCCUCGGCCCAGGCCUGUGCCUGGUCUGUGCUGCAAAUGGCGGAACAUGG